UACCAUCUUCAUCUUCUUCCUCAAGUGCUUCAAACCUCCAUAGCUACCAAGCUCUCUAAAAUCUUUGUUCCUUAGCCAAAUCAAGCGAUUCAAGAGCCUAACUUGGCUAUUUUUUCGAGAGUAACAAAACCCUACCCUCGGUUUUCAUUGAAAACGCCCAGAUUCAUACAAAUCAGAUCGAGUUCGAAGAACCCUAAAAUUCAAAUUUGGGGCGUUUUGCUCAAACUUCAUAAGCAAUCUAUUUAAGUGUUCUCUAGCCCUUCUAAACUAAAAAGGUAUGAUUUUUUUCCUACAAUUUUCCUCUGAUUUGAUGAAGUCAAGAUGGUUAAAUCACGCAGGGGUAAAGAAAAAGAAACUGCACCAUAGGAGGAUGUAG
rnacentral:lncRNA from 1 species